GCGGACGAGCCGGACGACAAGCGCCUGCGUCCCGACGAAGCUGGGGGGCUCCUGACCCCCCUCAACUUCUCCGGCGCCGGGGGGGACGCGGGCGGCAGCCCCUCCACCUACAGCUACUGGUACCAGCAAGGCUACGGCGCCUACAGCUACCAGACGCCGUGGAGCUACAACCAGUACUACUCGCAGAGCUGAGCCCCCCCCCCCAACCCCCCCCCACAAAUUUGGGAUCCCUCCCCCCUUUUAUUAUUAUUUUUGUCUUAAUU